CGAGUGGCUCAGCGGUGGAGCACCACCUUGCCAAGGUGGGGGUCGCGGGUUCGAUCCCCGUCUCG
rnacentral:tRNA from 1 species